GAUGAACGCUGGCGGCGUGCCUAAUACAUGCAAGUCGAGCGAACGGACGAGAAGCUUGCUUCUCUGAUGUUAGCGGCGGACGGGUGAGUAACACGUGGAUAACCUACCUAUAAGACUGGGAUAACUUCGGGAAACCGGAGCUAAUACCGGAUAAUAUUUUGAACCGCAUGGUUCAAAAGUGAAAGACGGUCUUGCUGUCACUUAUAGAUGGAUCCGCGCUGCAUUAGCUAGUUGGUAAGGUAACGGCUUACCAAGGCAACGAUGCAUAGCCGACCUGAGAGGGUGAUCGGCCACACUGGAACUGGGACGCGGUCCAGACUCCUACGGGAGGCAGCAGUAGGGAAUCUUCCGCAAUGGGGGAAAGCCUGACGGAGCAACGCCGCGUGAGUGAUGAAGGUCUUCGGAUCGUAAAACUCUGUUAUUAGGGAAGAACAUAUGUGUAAGUAACUGUGCACAUCUUGACGGUACCUAAUCAGAAAGCCACGGCUAACUACGUG
rnacentral:rRNA from 1 species